GUUGCAGUUAAAAGCUCGUAGUUGAAUUUUGGCCUUGGUUUGUGAGGUUCGGCCUUCACUGGUCGGUACCUUUACGAACCGGGCUCCACCUUCUGGGUUAGCCAGUUGUUACUUCGGUGCAGCUGGUGAACCAGAACUUUUACUUUGAAAAAAUUGGAGUGUUUAAAGCAGGCUUUCAAGCUUGAACAUAUUAGCAUGGAAUAAUGAAAUAGGACUUUGGCCUUAUUUCGUUGGUUUCUAAAGCCAAAGUAAUGAUGAAUAGGGAUAGUUGGGGACAUUAGUAUUCAAUUGUCAGAGGUGAAAUUCUUGGAUUUAUUGAAGACUAACUUCUGCGAAAGCAUUUGUCAAGGAUGUUUUCAUUAAUCAAGAACGAAAGUUAGGGGAUCGAAGACGAUCAGAUACCGUCGUAGUCUUAACCAUAAACUAUGCCGACUAAGGAUCGGAUGGUGUUAUAUUUAUAUUGACCCAUUCGGCAUUUCAGCGAAAGCCAAGUUUUUGGGUUCCGGGGGGAGUAUGGUCGCAAGGCUGAAACUUAAAGGAAUUGACGGAAGGGCACCACCAGGAGUGGAGCCUGCGGCUUAAUUUGACUCAACACGGGGAAACUCACCAGGUCCAGACAUAGUAAGGAUUGACAGAUUGAGAGCUCUUUCUUGAUUCUAUGGGGUGGUGGUGCAUGGCCGUUCUUAGUUCGUGGAGUGAUUUGUCUGGUUAAUUCCGAUAACGAACGAGACCUUACUCUGCUAAAUAGCCAGCAUGACUUUGGUCGUGUCCUUUUUGGCUUCUUAGAGAGACUAUCAAUGUUUAUUUGAUGGAAGUUUGAGCAUAACAGUCUGUGAUGCCCUUAGAUGUCUGGGCCGCACGCGCGCUACACUGAU
rnacentral:rRNA from 1 species